rnacentral:rRNA from 1 species
GAUGAACGCUGGCGGCGUGCCUAAUACAUGCAAGUCGAGCGAACAGACGAGGAGCUUGCUCCUCUGACGUUAGCGGCGGACGGGUGAGUCACACGUGUAUCACCUACCUAUCAUACUGGUAUAACUUCGGGACACCGGCGCUAAUACCGUAUAAUAUAUUGCACCGCAUGGUUCAAUAGUGAAAUACGGUUUUUCUGUCACUUCUAGAUGGAUCCGCGCCUCAUUAGCUAGUUGGUAAGGUAAAGGCGUACCAAGGCAACGCUGCGUAGCCGACCUGAGAGGGUGAGCGGCCGCACUGGGAGGGAGACACGGUACAGACGCAUAGGGGAGGGAGCCGUAGGGAAACGUCCGCAAGGGGCGAAAGCCAGACGGAGAAGGGCCGCGGGAGGAAUGAAGGUCUUCGGAUCGGAAAACACGGUUAUUAGGGAAGAACAAAUGUGUAAGUAACUAGGCACGUCAGGAAGGGACAUAAGCAGAAAGCCACGGCUAAAUAAGGG